UACGGGGGGGGCAAGCGUUGUUCGGAAUUACUGGGCGUAAAGGGCCAGUAGGCGGCCAACUAAGUCCGACGUGAAAUCCCCAGGCUUAACCUGGGAACUGCGUCGGAUACUGGAUGGCUUGAAUUCGGGAGAGGGAUGCAGAAUUCCAGGUGUAGCGGUGAAAUGCGUAGAUAUCUGGAGGAACACCGGUGGCGAAGGCGGCAUCCUGGACCGAGAUUGACGCUGAUGCGCGAAAGCCAGGGGAGCAAACGGG
rnacentral:rRNA from 1 species